GAGUUUGAUCCUGGCUCAGGAUGAACGCUGGCGGCGUGCUUAACACAUGCAAGUCGAGCGAAGCAUUAAAACCGAUUUCUUCGGAAAGAAGUUUUAAUGACUGAGCGGCGGACGGGUGAGUAACGCGUGGGUGACCUGCCUCAUACAGGGGGAUAACAGACAGAAAUGUCUGCUAAUACCGCAUAAGCGCACAGUGUUGCAUGGCACAGUGUGAAAAACUCCGGUGGUAUGAGAUGGACCCGCGUCUGAUUAGCUAGUUGGUAAGGUAACGGCUUACCAAGGCGACGAUCAGUAGCCGGCCUGAGAGGGUGAACGGCCACAUUGGGACUGAGACACGGCCCAAACUCCUACGGGAGGCAGCAGUGGGGAAUAUUGCACAAUGGGGGAAACCCUGAUGCAGCGACGCCGCGUGAAGGAAGAAGUAUUUCGGUAUGUAAACUUCUAUCAGCAGGGAAGAAAAUGACGGUACCUGACUAAGAAGCCCCGGCUAACUACGUGCCAGCAGCCGCGGU
rnacentral:rRNA from 1 species